rnacentral:lncRNA from 1 species
AUUAGCAUUUCUAGCAACAAUGUAUUUUUAAAUUAAGAUAUUUGAUGUGAUUCACCAGUACAGCCAUAUGAAGAUGAUAUUUUGAUUUUAGGAAUGUUUCAUUACAAAUGCAAUUCCUUCAACAGAGGCUUUUUCACUCCUCAGAAGAAAAAGUGGACACUAUAUGCCCCAAUGCAGCCGCAUUCCUGCUGGUCCCCAAAAGUAUAGUCACAAAAUUAAACAGGGUUUGCCCCGUGGACUUGUGGUUCCCUCUGCUGCUCUUCCCUGACUACCUGCUAAUCCUACUUAUCAGUUAAGUAUCAACUUCCUCCACGGUGUGGAGAUGCUUCUCUGGCCUCCCCACCACCCCAUACUGGGUUAGGUAACCCAAUACUAUACCCUGCACAAUCCCUGUUCACAGUCCUUAUUAUGCUCUACCCUAAUGUCACAUCAUCAUCCAUCAACUUCUCUAAGCAAGAAAACUGGAUUUCUGCAAUGUCGUAGCCCAGCAUGGUGCCCUGCAAAUAGCAAGUUUUUCAUAAAUAGUUGUUGGGUAGAUGAGUGAAUAUAUGAACUCCAGAAAAGCCUGUAUUGCCUGGGGCCUAGAAAACAAGGGCAGGAAAAACCAGAUUCCCUACAGGAACAGCUUCUAUGAAUUAAAAGCUCACUCUUAACUAAGAAAUGGGUCGAAAUGUAUCAUCUAUGCCAUUAAUACAUCUUUCCAGAAAUUUUGAAAUACUUAAAUUGGGAUGCUUUCUUUGCAAGCUGCUCCUAUGACUCAGAUCCCAAGUAAGUGAGGGUAUGAAGGUAUGUAAUCAGAUUUUAUAGGCUGGGCCUAAAAACACCUAUAGUUGGAAGGGAUGAAAGGCAUGUUAUAGGAAAGGCAACAAAAGCUGAAUUCUGUGUGUAUGUAUGUAUGCGUGUGCAUGUUUAAAGCCCCCGGGAAUGUAUGUAAAAGCAUGCCAAAUUUUACUACUUUAUUGGGUUAAAAUAAUUUUAAUUUUAGUACACAAGGAAAUGUCUAUGUAGAAAAAUUAAAUUUUCCUUUUU